rnacentral:lncRNA from 1 species
AAGUUCCCAGGCUAGGGGUCAAAUUGGAGCUGCAGCUGCCAGCCUACACCACAGUAGGAACGCCAGAUCUGAGCCAUGUAUGUGACCUACACCACAGGACACAGCAAUACUGGAUCCUUAACCCACUGAAGGUGGCCAGGGAUCAAAGCUGCAUCCUCAAAGAUACUAAUCAGGUUUGUUACUGCUGAGGCACAGCGGGAACUCCCCCCAAGGGUAAACAUUUGUAAUGGGCAGACUACAGAAUUAAUCCUUCCCUGCAUCUCUGUCCCUUUCCAUUCUAUUCCUAACUCAGGGUCCCCAUGAACUGGAGCCAAGCCAUCUGAGAAGAGGAAGUGAUAAGCGGCCAUAGAAAUUAAUCUAUUACUUAAGCUUCUUGAAGAUCAGAUAAACCUCUUGAUUAAUGCAUCUUUGCAGUUUUCUUUUAACUUCAUUAAAAUAGAGAAAUUUCAACUUUUCACCAAGUCAUUUCAUCUAUAAAAAGUGAAAGUUAAACUUGAUCAUCUUUAAGGUCCAGCACUGAAAUGUGUGAGAUCUUGAUGCUUCAAGAAUUAGAACAUUUGUCUAUUCACAUGUGUCUACUUUCUUUACACAGGAUGUACAUAAUCCUAGGCAUUUUAACUUCUCCUAUCUUCUGAAAAGAAUUAGAUAAACGAGCUCCUAGCAUAGUAGAAGGUUUAGAAGAUUAUUAGGCAGAUUCCUAAGUCUUUCUGAGCCCAUAAUAAGAUAACAAAUUAAACAAAACAAUAGUAAAGGCAUGACAAAUAAGCCAGUGUUUGUUUGUGAAUCGAUGGAACACACAGCAACCUAAGAUUUAUUAUUUGAGAAUAACCAAGAUAGGCUGUCUUCCCACCCUUCCUUUUAUAAAUAGAAAGGUAUAAAUGCAUACAUAUAUUCAUAUAUCUCAAACAGGUAUUGCAAAAAAGAUGGGAAAUGAAAAACAACUGUCAAGAAUGCCUAUGAGCAAGAAAUAUGAGAAGUUUGAUCUAAAUAUAAAAAGCUGAAAUCACAUGCCACAGAUGGAGCAUUUAGAACAACAACAACAACAAAAUGUAUGGUGGGCACAGUUUACUUUUCAUGGCUUACAGCAAGAGAUUCUAUUUUGUUAACUUUGCAAGACCUAUUCACUACAUGAUGCAAUGAAUGAAGAGAUAAAAACUAUAAAUUAUCCACUGAGAAUUUGUGGGCUAUUUAGAAAGAACUGAAGCAAAGUGUGCUUCUUUAUUUUAAUGCAGUCAGACAGCAUGGUGAAAAUCUAUUGACGAAAUUUACUAAACGUCUGCCUCAAAUAAAGACGAUUUUAAGACUCCAGAUUCUCAGAAGCCUAAUUUCUUGGUUUCCUAUUGGCCUUAAAAAGAUAAGGCAUCUGAACCAAAUGAAACUGAAUCUAUUGAAAACAUAAGAACACAUGAUUGGGUUUGACAAAGAUAUCAACCUGUUUGGGCUCAAUAUGGACACCUGGACUGAGCUGGGCUCCACAUCCCCCUUGUUGCACUUGAACUAUACAGAAUCAUAGUCAUAGGAAAAUUACAGAGCCGUGUUGUGGAAAUUAAUUUGCAAUUUCAGAAGAGAGUUACAAUAGAAAGGGGAAAAAAGAUUAACUGUUUCCCCAACUUUCCAUAAGUUAUGAGUCUUGGCUGAAGAAGCAGAAAGCCAGAGAAAGAGAAAGAAGAAGAGGUGGACUAUGUAAUGAUUAGUACCAGAAAAUCCAGUGAAGUCCUAUUGGGUGGAGAAUGCCAUGGAUCCCAAAUCAAGAGGUUGCAGGCAUAUUCUCAGAAAAUACAUUUCUUUUGGGUCAGUAGGAAUGACAAAAUAUGAACUUUCCAUCAUUGUGUCAUACAAAGUUUUUGAAACUUUUACUUUCUAUCAUGGCAGAUCUUGUCUGAAGGAUCAGAAGGACAAAGUACCCAUGCUACUGCAUUAAUUAGGGAAAUUUUGAACAUUUAGUGACUUCAGGUAAGUGUAUAUUCAGAUGCCUUUUGUUUGUUUGUUUGUUUUUCUCUCUGUUUUAGAGUGGGUAAAUCUCCACAAUAAGAGAUUUUUUUUUUCUUCAAAGCAAGCACUUGGGAAAAUCCAGUAUAAGUUAGAUGCUUUACACGUAUUCUGAUCACAUCAAUCCUCUUAGGAUAGCUAUUAUCAGCCUCAUUUUUUCCAAUGAAAUGUCUGAAGAGAGUGAAGUGAUAUGCCUAAGGUCUCACAGAUUGCAGGUGGCAGAAUUGAAAUGCAAAUCUAUGUUUUCUAGCUGUGAAUUUCCUCCUUUUCAUGUACACCAUGCUUCCUUCUCCAAGAAGUUCAAGUUCGACCUUUCUCUUUUCUUUAACUCGUGAUAGCUUCUUCUUUUCUUUAACUCAUGGUAUCAGAAUACCAUCAGGAUCUCCAUCUAUCCACCUGCUCAUUAUGGUAAUGUUGGGUCCAUUGCUCUGAGUUUAUGAAGAGCUCUGUAUGAAGAAAGUGAUAUAAAACGUAAAAUGCUUUUUAUUUUUUUAAUGGGUAGGAAUGCUUAUAGGAUUUUUUUCUCCUCCAGUUUAAACUAAGCGAACUGUGUUCAGACAUUUCCUAGUAUUGAACCAUUCUUAAAUUACUGGCAUGAAAACCAUGUGUUCAACUUUUUACUUUCCUAAUGGGUUGCUGCAUUCAAUUUGUUCAUUUUUUGUAGUAUCGACUGAAGUCAGGGAGCCUGAUUCCUCAGUUCCAUUUUUCUAUUGAGAUAUUAGUUGGGCUAUCCAGGGUCUUCUGUGUUUCCAUACAAAUUUUAAAAUAUUUUGUUCUUGGAGUCCCCAUUGUGGGUCAGCAGAUUAAGGACCCAAUGUUGUCUCUGUGAGGAUGUGGGUUUGAUCUCUGGCCUCGCUCAGUGGGUUAUGGAUCUGGCAUUACCCCUAUUUUUUUAAAAAAAAAAAUCAUUCCAGUUCUGUGAAGAAUAUCAUUGGUAACUUGAUAGGGAUUGCACUGAAUCUGUAGAUUGCCUUGAGCAGUAUAGUCAUUUCGACAAUGGUCAUUCUUCCAAUCCAAGAGUAUGGUAUAUUUUUCCAUCUGGUUGUGUCAUCUUUGACUUCUUUCAUCAGUGUUUCAUAGUUUUCAGAGUGCAGGUCUUUUGUCUCUUUAGGUAGGUUUACUCCUAAGGAUUUUAUUCUUUUGGAUGAGAUGGCACAAAUGGGAUUGUUUCCCUUAUUUCUCUUUCUGAUCUAUCAUUGCUAGUAUAUAGAAGUGCAAUAGAUUUCUGUGUAUUGAUUUUGUAUCCUGCAACUUUACCAAAUUAAUUGAUGAGCUCUAACAGUUUUCUAGUAGCAUCUUUAGGACUUCCUGUGUAUAGUACCAUGUCAUUUGCACUGACAGUUUUAUGUCUUUUCCAAUUUGGAUUCUUUUUAUUUCAUUUCCAUCUCUGAUUGCCAUGGCUAGGACCUCCAAAUCUAUGUUGAAUAACAGUGGUAAGAGUAGACAUCCUUGUCUUGUUCCUGAUCUUAGCAGAACUGCUUUCAGCUUUUCACCACUGAGAAUGAUGUUAGCUGUGGGCUUGUCAGCAUUCAGUUUGUUUAUAUUUGAUUUAUGAUGUUUGCAAUUAUUCAUAAGUGAAAUCGUUCUGCAGUUUUAUUAUAUUGUGCUGUUAUGCGAGGUUUUUUUUUCCAAUAUACACUUUCCAAAACAUCUUUGUCUAGAAUCAUGGAUUCCUUUACAUUUGGGGAGAUAAUUCACCAAAGGGGGGGAGAAAGGGUAGAGGUUCCUACACCUGAAGAAUAUAACUCUUGUCUUUAACGUCCAUAACUCUCCUUAAUAAGCAAACUUCCAGAUAAAUCUGGAUCACAGAGGUCCUACCUUAACCUCUCAGCCUAAACUGAUAAGUUGAUUUACAUUAAACUGAACAACUACCAAGAAGAAACAGUAUCCCUCAAAUUGCAGAGAGAGGCAAAUGAGCCUCAGAGCUAGAAAUUUCAGACUCUUUGGCUAAACACCACCUGCCCCUGUAAAAAGACACUAUUUUUUUUUUCAUAAAAUGUGUUUCAGAUAAAGAGCUCACUCCCAAGAACCCAGGUGCUUCCAUCUUUCCCCUCUGUCAUUCUCCUCACCUUGACAUGAUGUUACAGCAGUCCCAGGUGUCACAAGCAGACGUGGCUGUAUCAUGGGAAGAAGGGAGGCACUUCCUUCCAUGUGCCUAUUUUAUUAGCUAAAACAUUUCCCAGGAGUCCCUAGUGGACACCUCUUCCAGUCUUUUUCACCAGGAUUAGAUUUCACGCCCAUGUCACAGAUGCAAGGGAGAUGAGAAGAAAAGCACAAGGCAUAUUUCACGUCUACUGUGGGUAUAUACUCUCUGAGAAAGCAAAAAGAGAGAGCGAGCAUGCACAAGCUGUCCUGGAGACAACCAACAAUAUGAUCAAUAUGAUCACAAAUUGAGAAAAGGGGAGGAUGGGACACUACAUAAGACCCUUGCGGAAGGAGGAAAGAGCAUCCAAGGAGGGAGCAUGUGGGUGCAAAAGACAAAAACUAUUGUUCACCGCACAGUGUUGACCAAGAACUGUAUGAGAGGGCAUGGUUAUCUUUUAGCAUCUUGUGUAGUCUUUGAAUCAAUUUUUAAUUUUCCCAUGAGGUUGGAUGGAUUGAAAACAUAAGGUCCACAAGGGCUAGAUAUAUUCAUGACCAUGCUAUUGAAUUAUAGGAAUAAUUCAAGAUAGGAAUAUUUGGGACCAUAUCUUAUUUUUCUGAUAUUGAAAUCAAAGAAUACAGCAGCCAUUGGCUUUGACAACCGUCCUGGUGA